AUGGCAGUAGCCCCUUCUGGUCCUGGUGGACAGAGUGAAAUGAAGAAUCCUCCAGGAUCUCCUGAUGCUCCCAUGCUUGCAAGGUUUCACACUGGAGCGGAACUCCUUUGCACGGACUCUCAGAGUGCGGACGCUUCCCUGAAAGCGCUGUGGCAGGACUCGGAUUCAAUCAUUUGCUGUUCCCUGAAGGCUGCUCCUGUGUUCAGCUUCGCUAAUCAGGUCGGCCUCGACAUGUCGGAGGCGAUGCUGAUUGCUCUCCAGGUUGCCCAAGAUCAUGCAUCAGGGUUUCGCGUACCUCCCCGGCGGCGUGUGCGUGUCGAGCAGGGGUAG
rnacentral:rRNA from 1 species